rnacentral:rRNA from 1 species
UACGUAGGGAGCAAGCGUUGUUCGGAUUUACUGGGCGUAAAGGGCGCGUAGGCGGCGCGGUAAGUCACUUGUGAAAUCUCUGAGCUUAACUCAGAACGGCCAAGUGAUACUGCAGUGCUAGAGUGCAGAAAGGGCAAUCGGAAUUCUUGGUGUAGCGGUGAAAUGCGUAGAUAUCAAGAGGAACACCUGAGGCGAAGGCGGGUUGCUAGGCUGACACUGACGCUGAGGCGCGAAAGCUAGGGGAGCGAACGGG